AGUGAACGCUGGCGGCGUGCCUAAUACAUGCAAGUCGAACGGAGUGGCGAACGGGUGCGUAAUAUAUAGCUAAUCUGCCACUUGCUGGCGGACAACAGUUAGAAAUGACUGCUAAUACUCCAUAGCAAGUGAUGAUAGUAUAUCGUAUCAGCUAGUCGGUGGGGUAACGGCCUACCGAGGGUAUGACCCGUCACUCGUCUGAGAGGAUGAUCAGUAGCAUUGGAAGUGAGACACGAGCCAAACUCCUACGGGAAGGAGCAGAAGGGUAGAAUGCGCAAGGGGUGUGACUCUAGCGGGUCUACGGCGCGUGGAGGAUGACACUUUGCGGAGAGUAAGCUCCUUUUUUUAUGGACGCGGUACCUAACGAAGAAGCACCGGCUAACUCCGUGCCAGCAGCCGCGGUAAUUC
rnacentral:rRNA from 1 species